AAUCAUUUAUGAUUGUCGUGAUGGCUAUUAUUUCUCUCCUGUCUUGAGACAUGUGUGUUUGCAUUGCUUUGUCUCUGUAGGUUUCAACAAUCACCUCUGUCCUGAAACUGUCCAGCUUGACCAGCAUCCAGAAGCAGGCAAUUCCCGUCCUCUUGCAAGGGAGAGACGCCCUGGUGAGGUCCCAGACUGGCUCAGGCAAAACGCUGGCCUAUGGGAUCCCUUUGGUGCAGUCUUUGCAAGGCCUGGAGCCCAAGAUUCAGCGCAGCGAUGGGCCCUACGCGCUCAUACUGGUUCCCACCCGAGAGCUGGCCCUUCAGAGCUUUGAGACCAUCCAGAAGUUGUUGAAGCCCUUCACCUGGAUCGUGCCUGGCGUCUUGAUGGGAGGAGAGAAGAAGAAGUCGGAGAAAGCCAG